rnacentral:lncRNA from 8 species
GGUUGGAUAUGGAUCAGUUCCGAGAUGCGAUGAAGAAGAUCAUGGGCGAUGUGGAUGAUGAGGAUGUGGACAUCAUCUUUAUGAAGGUGGACACCAACUGUGACGGCAGAAUGGACUGGGUUGAAUAUCUGAACUACAUGCUUUUAGAGUACAGAGAGAAAGACUCUUUGCAGCACCAAAACAGGCCAAUCUACUUUCCCAAACCACUCAAGAUUGUGCCUGUGUAAGUGGUAUUUUAUUGGCUAUGUUCUACAGGUUUCUAAGUAGUACAUGUGCAGUGUAUGCAUCCUUUAAGUUUUCUGUGUGUCUGUCUGUGUAGUGCACACUGUGAGGCCAUUGUCCGCCUCCAGUUCUACCCAUUCCAGCCCCCAGCCGGGGAGAAAAAGACAGACUCUGGGGAGCAUGGCAGGGCCUCGGGGGGGUACUAAGGGCCGCGCCCACAGUGGGCGCUACCUGUCAAUCAGCCGGGAUGGCGUUCUCAACUACUGGAGCGAGAGGUUCUAGCUGCUGCGCACUGUCAAUGUGCGUAUCAGCCAUGUUCUAGCAUUAUAUCAUCAAUAAUCAAUCAAUUAAUCUAUUACAAUUGAAUUGAAUAGCAAUUCCUAUGUUUUCCCCAGACAAUAAUGUUUGAUAUGAUGAGAAAACUCUGAAGUAAUACAUGAUGUUGACAGAGAUGGAGAAUAGACAGUUGUGAAACACUGCUAGGUAAUAGAACAUCCCACCAGCAGGUAUGCUUCAUGUCAUGCUUGUGGACCAGCAGGUAUGCUUCAUGUCAUGCUUGUGGACCAGCAGGUAUGCUUGUGGACCAGCAGGUAUGCUUGUGGACCAGCAGGUAUGCUUGUGGACCAGCAGGUAUGCUUCAUGUCUUGCUUGUGGACCAGCACGUAUGCUUCAUGUCAUGCUUGUGGACCAGCAGGUAUGCUUCAUGUCAUGCUUGUGGACCAGCAGGUAUGCUUCAUGUCAUGCUUGUGGACCAGCAGGUAUGCUUGUGGACCAGCAGGUAUGCUUCAUGUCAUGCUUGUGGACCAGCAGGUAUGCUUGUGGACCAGCAGGUAUGCUUCAUGUCAUGCUUGUGGACCAGCAGGUAUGCUUGUGGACCAGCACGUAUGUUUCAUGUCAUGCUUGUGGACCAGCAGGUAUGCUUCAUGUCAUGCUUGUGGACCAGCAGGUAUACUUGUGGACCAGCAGGUAUGCUUCAUGUCAUGUUUGUGGACCAGCAGGUAUGCUUGUGGACCAGCACGUAUGCUUCAUGUCUUGCUUGUGGACCAGCACGUAUGCUUCAUGUCAUGCUUGUGGACCAGCAGGUAUGCUUCAUGUCAUGCUUGUGGACCAGCAGGUAUGCUUGUGGACCAGCAGGUAUGCUUCAUGUCUUGCUUGUGGACCAGCACGUAUGCUUCAUGUCAUGCUUGUGGACCAGCAGGUAUGCUUCAUGUCAUGCUUGUGGACCAGCAGGUAUGCUUGUGGACCAGCAGGUAUGCUUCAUGUCAUGCUUGUGGACCAGCAGGUAUGCUUGUGGACCAGCAGGUAUGCUUCAUGUCAUGCUUGUGGACCAGCAGGUAUGCUUCAUGUCAUGCUUGUGGGAUGUUCUAUUCUUUAUCUGUGAAACAUUCUUUGCAUGUUUUUCUCUGCUCUCGAUAAGUCAGAUGCAGCACACAGUGUCUCAGCCCGUCUGGGUGACAGACAUGGUCUGCCUGAGCAACAUCAACCAGCUCUCCAUCUCCUCCACAGGGCGAGACGUAGAAUUCUAUGACAUCAGUGCCAGUAAGUGUGACAUAGUGUUCCCCCUGUCGGAGCUGGAGGCCAAUGUGGAGGUGAUGGACUACUGGUAG